rnacentral:rRNA from 1 species
GAUGAACGCUGGCGGCGUGCCUAAUACAUGCAAGUCGAGCGAACAGACGAGGAGCUUGCUCCUCUGACGUUAGCGGCGGACGGGUGAGUAACACGUGGAUAACCUACCUAUAAGACUGGGAUAACUUCGGGAAACCGGAGCUAAUACCGGAUAAUAUAUUGAACCGCAUGGUUCAGUAGUGAAAGACGGUUUUGCUGUCACUUAUAGAUGGAUCCGCGCCGCAUUAGCUAGUUGGUAAGGUAACGGCUUACCAAGGCAACGAUGCGUAGCCGACCUGAGAGGGUGAUCGGCCACACUGGAACUGAGACACGGUCCAGACUCCUACGGGAGGCAGCAGUAGGGAAUCUUCCGCAAUGGGCGAAAGCCUGACGGAGCAACGCCGCGUGAGUGAUGAAGGUCUUCGGAUCGUAAAACUCUGUUAUUAGGGAAGAACAAAUGUGUAAGUAACUAUGCACGUCUUGACGGUACCUAAUCAGAAAGCCACGGCUAACUACGU